AGACUGCUAGGUUUAGCUUCAGGGGCAGCCCAGGGCAGUGUUGCUGCAUAUUGCAUGGAUGAAAGGCUGAAGGCUGCCUCCUCUUGCAGGCUGGCUUCUGAGAUUGCACCUUCUUCUCCUGCUACUCCUCCAAAUCUAUGACCCUUCAAGGACCUGCUACACCCUGACCACCCCCUGCCGCCCCCACAGGCAGAGCUGACCUGUCCGGUAAUCAAGGCAAUGCAGCCGGCCGCCUAGCUACAGUUCACGAGCCAGUUGUCACCCAGUGGGCGGUGCAUCCUCCAGCCCCCGCUCACCCCAGUCUCCUGGACAAAAUGGAGAAAGCGCCUCCACAGCCCCAGCACGAGGGCCUCAAGUCCAAGGAGCAUCUUCCGCAACAGCCUGCCGAAGGCAAGACGGCGUCCCGCCGCGUCCCACGCCUCCGGGCUGUGGUCGAGAGCCAGGCCUUCAAGAACAUCCUGGUAGACGAGAUGGACAUGAUGCACGCCCGUGCAGCCACGCUCAUCCAAGCCAACUGGAGGGGCUAUUGGCUCCGGCAGAAGCUGAUUUCCCAGAUGAUGGCGGCCAAGGCCAUCCAGGAGGCCUGGCGG
rnacentral:lncRNA from 1 species